rnacentral:tRNA from 1 species
GUUUUAAUAAUUUAAAUAAAAUAUUGAUUUUGUAAAUCAAACUUAAGGUAACUUUUAAAACA